rnacentral:rRNA from 1 species
UACGUAGGGUGCAAGCGUUGUCCGGAAUUAUUGGGCGUAAAGAGCUCGUAGGCGGUCUGUCGCGUCUGCUGUGAAAUCCCAGGGCUUAACCCUGGGCCUGCAGUGGGUACGGGCAGACUAGAGUGCGGUAGGGGAGAUCGGAAUUCCUGGUGUAGCGGUGAAAUGCGCAGAUAUCAGGAGGAACACCGGUGGCGAAGGCGGAUCUCUGGGCCGUAACUGACGCUGAGGAGCGAAAGCAUGGGUAGCGAAC